AUCAUGAGCAUGGAACAUUGAAAGCUUCUUUUCAAGCGGAAGUUAAAAAUGAAGAAGAUUAUGAUGAAGAGGACGUGGACAGAUUGGUGGAAGCGGAACAGCAAAGAAGGAAGUCCUUACUUGCCAAAUACUGUCAGAGUAAUUUUUCGUCAAGUGCGAAAUCCCUGAAUACAUUUUACUUCGUCGUGAG